GGUCUAUGAACCAAACUGCAGGAGCUGACUGGAGAACAGACUGUAAUGAUGGAAGGACACUCAGACCUGUUUCAGUCUCAUAGUCCUUCAGGUGGGAGUACAGAUCCAGCAGGAAACCACUCUGAUAUUCUUCAUAACCCUGUUUGUCAGGAAGAGGGAAUGAUGGAUGUGUGCACACUGAUGAUAACAGCUCCAGUGUCUUCUCUCCUGUCUGCUGCU